rnacentral:lncRNA from 1 species
AAAAAAAAAAAAAAAAUCAUCUCUGCAACACACACUAAUCAGAACACCACAAACAAGAAAAAAUCCAAAAAAAAAAAAUUUGAAUAAGGCGGAAAAGAAAAUUGAAAUAGCGGUUAUUCAAAAUUGGAUUGAGAAGGAGGAAAGGAAGAGAUUUCACUAACCUUGACUGGAUUCUUUGAAAAAUUGUGGUUAUGGUUUUUGUUUGUGUAAGGUUUUAAUUGAGGAUUUGAUUAUGGAUUGGUAUUGCUAUUAAUUACAGAAAAGCAGAAAUAUAAAAAAUAUAAAAUUAUAUAAAAUAAAAUAAAAUAAAUAAAGAAAAGAAUAUGGUAUGGCUUCCGUGCCAAGUUGCCACCUUCCUAACAAUAGCUUGUUGAGGUUGG